CGCCCCCGGAGGCUCAGGCUCGUGGUGGUCCGUGUUCCUGUGGCCGCUGGAGUGGUUCGGCCAGGGCUUUUUGGCAGCUGAGUUGAACCUGGUUUAGUGGUAAUCCUCUAGGUGAACCUUGACAAUCUGGUUAUGCUGUAAUGCCAGAUCCUCUGAAAGCAGCAGGUGAUUGGCUAGCUGCCUCACCACUUCCAGCUCUGGGCCUAGGAGAAGGAGACAUGUGAGACAUGUGAUGAUGGAAAAAGGAUCAGAAUGAUAAGAGACUAUGGCUUUGGAGAUGAAAGAAGGGGACUAUAAGCCAAGGAAUGCAAGCACCCUUUAGAAAUUGGAAAAUACAAGAAAAUAGAUUCUCCCCUAGUCUUCAGAAGGUGUCUUAGUCCAUAUUGGCUGGUACAACAAAAUACCACAGACUGGGUGGCUUAUAAACAGAAAUAUAUUUCUCAUAGUUCUGCAGCCUGGAAAUCCAACAUCAGGGAGCCAGCAUGGAUGAUAAGAGCUCUCUAAGAGGGUGCAGGCUUCUUGUCUCCUCAUAUGGCAGAAUCUCUAGAAAGCUCUGUAGUUUCUCCUUUAUAAGAGCACUUAGUCCUGUUCACUAGCUCCACCCUUAUGACCUAAACACCUCCCCCAAACCCAUCUCUUAUCUGAAUCUCAUUAGUAUUUAAACAUAUGAAUUUUGGGGGGACAAAACAUUGAGACCUCAGCUAAUAGGAACAGAGUAUGGCAAACAUCUUGAUUUUAGUCCAGUAAGACACAUGUCAGACUUCUGAACCCCAGAAUUGUAAGAUAAUAAAUUUUUUAAGCCACCAUAAUUAUGGUGUUUUGUCAAAACAAUAAUAGAAAAUUAAGACAGAAAUAAUAUUUGUAUCUAUAGAAGGUCUGAGAAGGCCUCAGAAUCUCUAGUAUGGCUGAUAGAAGGUAUUUUUGACUUGUCUCCCACAAUCAGUCAGUAAAGACUAGAGAAAGUGGUAUGAAAACAGCAACCCAAGACUUCAAACAACCUGAAAAAAUCAAGGGAACAUGAUACCACAAAUGAUCAUAAUAGUUUUCCAGCAAUCAACUCCAAAGAAAUGAAUAUCUGCAAUUUAUCUGAUACAGAAAUAAAAAGUAGCUGCCUUAAGAAAGCUCAAUGAACUACCAAAAAGCUCACAGAAAUACAAACAAAAUUAGGAAAACAAUAUAUGAAAAAAGUGAGAAGUUUAACAAAGAGGUAGAAAUAAUAAUAAUAAAAAAAAACAGAAGUUCUAGAGCUGAAGAAUAUACUGAAUGAAAUGAAAAAUGCAAUAGAGAGAAUUCAUUUCAGAAUGGAUCUAAUGUAAGAAAGAAUAUGUGAAGUAGAUGACAGGAUCUUUGAAAUUAUCCAGGCACAGGAGAACAAAGAAAAAGAAUGAAAGAGUGAAGAAAGCCUAUGUGAACUAUAGAUUCCAUCAGGAGAAGAAUAUGCAAAUUAUUGGAAUCCCUGAAGUAGAACAAAGGGAGAAGGAAACAGAAAGCUUAUUUAAAGAAAUGAUGGCUAAGAACUUCCUAAAUCUGGGGAUAGAUUUGGCCAUUCAAGUUCAUGAAGCUUGUAGGUCCCCAAACAAACUAAAUUUUAAAGAGAUUUUCUCCAAGACACAUUGUAAUAAAAUUGUAAAAAAUCAAAGACAAAGAAAGACUUACAAAUGUAACAAGAGAAGUUUGUUACUUACAUGGUAAUCUCUAUAAGGCCAUCAGCAGAUUUCUUAGCAAAAACAUUACAGGCCAGAGAAGAGGGGGAUGAAUAUUCAAAGUGCUGAAAGAAUAAUUGCUAACAAAGAAUAUUUUAUCUGGCAAAGCUGUAUUUUAGAAAUGAAGGAGAGAGAGAGAUUCUCCCAGACAAACAUAACCUGAGGGAGUUCAUCACCACUAGACCUAUCUUAUAAGAAAUGUUGAAAGUUCUUCAAGUUGAAAUGUAAAGAUGAUAAUUAGUAACAAGAAGGCAUAUGAAAAUAUGCAACACACUAGUAAAGGUAAGUAUAUACACAAAUUCAGAAAACUCUUAAUAUUAUAAAAUGGUGAUAUGUUAACUACUUGACUCUAGUAAAAAGGUUAAAAGACAAAAGUAUUAAAAAUAACUAUAGCUACAACAAUUUGCUAGUGAAUAUCCUAUAUGAGGUAAUUGUGAAAUCAAAAACAUAAAAGGGAGAAGUAACAGACUAGAGUUUUUAUAUGUGACUAAAGUUCCAUUGUUAGCAUAUAGUAGAGUUAUAUCUAUAAGAUGUUUUACAUAAACCUCAUGGUAACCACAAAGCAAAACCUACAGUAGAUGAACACACAAGAAAAAGGGAAUCAAAGUGUAACUCUAUAACAAAUCAUCAAUCCACAGACAGGAAGAGAGGAAGAAAGAAACAAGGGGACUACAAAACAGUCAAAAAACAAUUAAGAUGACAUUAGUAAGUCCCUAUCUACCAAUAAUUAAUAUAAAUUGUUUAAAUAUUCAAUGAAAAGACAUAGAGUGGUUGAAUGGAUUUUAAAAAAAGUUCCAACUGUGUGCUGCCUAAAAGGGAUUAACUUCAAAUUGAAGGACACCCAUAAGCUCAAACUGAAGAAAUGAGAGAAGAUAUUUCCAUGCAAGUGGAAACCAAAAGAGAACAGGGGCAUCUAUACUUAUAUCAGACAAAAUAGGCUGUAGGACAAAGUCUGUAAUAAGAGAAAACAAGGUGAUUAUGUAAUGAUAAAUGGGUUAAAUCAUCAAGAAGAUAUGACAGUUGUAAAUAUACAUAUAUACCCAACAUUGGAGCACCUAAAAAUACUAAUAUACUAACAGAUCUGAAAGGAGAAAU